rnacentral:rRNA from 1 species
ACUUGUCCGCCAGAAAAUUACGGGCGAAAGCCUAAAACUCAAAAGACUUGACAGUGUCCUAUCUGCCUAGAGGAGCCUGCUUCAUAAUCGAUAAACCCCGUUCAACCCAACCCUCCCUCGAAAUCCACUUUCAGCCUAUAUACCGCCGUCCUUCUUGCGCUUACCUUCUGAAAGAUCUAUUAGUAAGCCCAAUAGCCCUUAAGCUAAAAAGUCAGGUCAAGGUGUAGCCCAUGGGAGGGAGAAAGUGGGCUACAUUUUCUACCUUAGAACACACGAAAUAUAUUCUGAAACCAAAGUAAUAUGAAGGUGGAUUUAGUAGUAAG